rnacentral:rRNA from 1 species
CAGUAGCCACGGUAAUACGUAGGUCCCGAGCGUUGUCCGGAAUUAUUGGGCGUAAAGCGCGCGCAGGUGGUUUAAUAAGUCUGAUGUGAAAGCCCACGGCUCAGCCGUGGAGGGUCAUUGGAAACUGUUAAACUUGAGUGCAGGAGAGAAAAGUGGAAUUCCUAGUGUAGCGGUGAAAUGCGUAGAGAUUAGGAGGAACACCAGUGGCGAAGGCGGCUUUUUGGCCUGUAACUGACACUGAGGCGCGAAAGCGUGGGGAGCAAACAGGAUUAGAUACCCGUGUAGUCCCUGUCUCUUAUAC